UAAAAGCACGUAUAUUCAAAUUUGGGUCUGUCGAUAGACCCAUUUUUCGGCGGGACUUAGAAAAAAAAUUGAUUUCUGUUUCCUUACGUAAAAUAAAUAACAGAAUUAAGCAAAAUUUUAAUUGCUCUUUAUUUCUACAACAAAAAAUAAUUUAUUCUUAUCCAAAUUUUUGCCAACCGAAAAAUAUCUAUUAUGAAUCUAUAUUUUAAUUUAAAAUUUAGUUAAUUUUUUUUAUCUCUAUCUAUAAUAUAAUAUCUACACUAUCUAUACUAUAUAUAAAUCACGUAUUUCAAAUUUCGAUCUAUCAAUAAAUCCAAGCGGAAAAAAAAAAUGAUUCUUCUUUCCUUAUAUAAAAUAAAUAAGGUAAUGAAACAACCUUUUAAUUUCUCUUUAUCUCUAAACUAAAAAAAAAAACACUUAUCCAAAUUUUUGCAACCGAAAAAUAUCUACUGUAAAUCUAUAUUUUAAUUCGAAAUUU
rnacentral:lncRNA from 1 species